UUUCAAAGAUUGGAACAAACUCAAAAAGCAAGACAAAGUGGCAAAGCUAAUGGAUUUGAGGAUUGAAAUAUGCUCCACAAUUUUAACUCACUCCAGCAAUUCAAAAGUGGAAUAUGUGGUAAACCAAGCAGCUUCUUACUAUCAAGAAAUGGCUCAAAAGCUGCAACAUGAUGUCUAGGUUCUGACCAGGUUGAAACUUUUUUAUGUAUUCAUUGUUGAGUCUCUGACAUGUGAGUUGGUGUAUGAAGAAUUGGUGGUUCAUGUCUUAAUUCCCAAUUUGGUGGAGAAGCCAUAUUUGUUAUUUAUUAUAAGUUAUGUCAUUUUGAUAUUAUUGAGCAUGACUAUUAUACACCAAAAAGGAAGAAUCUGACUUUCACAUUGUUGAAAAUCAGUAAUCUAUCAUUUUCAUUUUACUUGUAGUUCGAA
rnacentral:lncRNA from 1 species